UGGGAAUGUGGUGAAAUUGGUAGACACGACGGACUUAAAAUCCGUUGCCUAGUGAUAGGCGUGAGGGUUCAAGUCCCUCCGUUCCCAU
rnacentral:tRNA from 1 species